AUUGAACGCUGGCGGCAUGCUUUACACAUGCAAGUCGAACGGUAACAGGCCUUCGGGUGCUGACGAGUGGCGAACGGGUGAGUAAUGCAUCGGAACGUGCCCAAUCGUGGGGGAUAACGUAGCGAAAGUUACGCUAAUACCGCAUAAGCCCUGAGGGGGAAAGUGGGGGACCGCAAGGCCUCACGCGAAUGGAGCGGCCGAUGUCAGAUUAGCUAGUUGGUGGGGUAAAGGCCCACCAAGGCGACGAUCUGUAGCGGGUCUGAGAGGAUGAUCCGCCACACUGGGACUGAGACACGGCCCAGACUCCUACGGGAGGCAGCAGUGGGGAAUUUGGACAAUGGGCGCAAGCCUGAGUCCAGCCAUGCCGCGUGCGGGACGAAGGCC
rnacentral:rRNA from 1 species